rnacentral:tRNA from 1 species
CGGGUGUAGCUCAAUGGUAGAGCACGAGCUUCCCAAGCUUGUGACGAGGGUCCGAUUCCCUUCACCC